AACGCGAAGAACCUUACCUGGGCUCGAACGGCUUUAGAUCAUCCUUGGAAACAGGGACUUCCCGCAAGGGACUGGAGUCGAGGUGCUGCAUGGCUGUCGUCAGCUCGUGUCGUGAGAUGUUGGGUUAAGUCCCGCAACGAGCGCAACCCUUGUCCUGUGUUGGCAUGCCGCAAGGCGCAACUCUCAGGAGACCGCCAGCGAUAAGUUGGAGGAAGGUGGGGAUGACGUCAAGUCCUCAUGGCCUUUAUGUCCAGGGCUACACACGUGCUACAAUGGCCGGUACAAACCGUCGCAAACCCGCGAGGGGGAGCUAAUCGGAAAAAGCCGGCCUCAGUUCGGAUCGCAGUCUGCAACUCGACUGCGUGAAGCUGGAAUCGCUAGUAAUCGCGGAUCAGAACGCCGCGGUGAAUACGUUCCCGGGCCUUGUACACACCGAUAGC
rnacentral:rRNA from 1 species